UUUGAGGGGAAUGUUGUCUGG
rnacentral:siRNA from 1 species